rnacentral:rRNA from 1 species
CCAGCAGUCGCGGUUAGACGAAUAAUACAAGUGAAUUUUAUUAGUAUAAGUUAAAUGUUAUUUUUAAAAAUAUAUUAAGUUUAUUAGGUGAAAUUUUAAAUUUAAAUAAUUUUUUUAUAAAUUUAAUUGAGUCUUAAAAAUUUUAUUAAUAAACUAGGAUUAGAUACCCUAUUAUUUAAAAUGUAAUUAUUUGCUAAAGUAGUAUUAGUUAUGUUCUUUAAAUUUAAAAAAUUUGGCGGUAUUUUAGUCUAUUCAGAGGAACCUGUUCUUUAAUCGAUAAUCCACGAUGGACCUUACUUAGAUUUGUUUAUAGUUUAUAUACCGUCGUUAUUAGAAUAUUUUAAAAGAAAAAUAAUUUUCUAUAAUUUUUAUAAAAAUUUAUAUCAGAUCAAGGUGUAGCUUAUAUUUAAGUAGAAAUGGGUUACAAUAAAUUUAUUUAUGAUGGAUAUAAUUAUGAAAAAAUUAUUGAAAUUGGAUUUGAUAGUAAAAUUAUAAAGAUUAAUAA